GCCAGUGGCCAUAUCACCAUGCAGUCCUCAACUGGCUACCCACUGAAGCUAAGCAGGGUUGAGCCUGGUCAGUUCCUGGAUGGGAGACCUCCUGGGAAGCUAUGGUUGCUGCUGGAA
ensembl:rRNA 5S_rRNA 5S ribosomal RNA